UCCUCUUCUUGAAAUAUCCAUUCUUAUUGUUUUGGCCAGAUUACCACCGAAGUGGUUACCAUUUCUGGCAUGUUGAUUCCCUUCACGCUUAUUGUCACCGCUUCGAUGACUGUUAUCACUGGUAUUAUCAUUUUGUCGGCUACUCUCUUUUGGUUAGGUUGACUCAUUAUCGCGCUCCAAUAACUGAGCCCUAUUAACAUCUGAAUACAAACACAGUUUAUGAGAGAUAAGAUAUUAACGUAUCUCGGGUUUCAAACCUCUCAAAAAUAUUCGCGUCAUUCUCUCUUCAUUAUCAACCAAAUGAGACGCAAACCGAAACAACUCGACAAACUUGGCUUCGUACUACGACACGGUCAUAUUGUUUUGCUCCAGCUUGAUGAACUCUACCUCUUUCUUGUGACGAAUACUUUCGGAAAAGUACUUGUCGUUG
rnacentral:lncRNA from 1 species